rnacentral:rRNA from 1 species
CAAUAGCGUAUAUUAAAGUUGUUGCGGUUAAAAAGCUCGUAGUUGGAUCUCGGCAGGCAGGGGGUGGUUCGCUCUUAGCGCUACUGCCCCAUUGGCCUGUGUGAUUGGCGGAGGUUUCGGGGUGCUCUUCGUUGAGUGACCCGGGGCGCCGUCAGGUUUACUUUGAAAAAAUUAGAGUGCUCAAAGCAGGCUUUUCACGCUUGAAUAUUCGUGCAUGGAAUAAUGGAAUAGGAACUCGUUUCUAUUUUGUUGGUUUUCGGAAAUCGAGUUAAUGAUUAAUAGGGACAAUUGGGGGCAUUAGUAUUCAGACGACAGAGGUGAAACUCUUGGACCGUCUGAAGACUAACUACUGCGAAAGCAUUUGCCAAGAGUGUUUUCAUUAA